CUCUCUCCCCUUUUAUCCACCACACAUGUUGCUCGCUGCAGAUUCUUCUUCCUCCAACCAACCACAUGCAUAUCAACUGCUUCUCUCUUGUUGUAUAAUAUUUUUCAUGGAUUUUGAUUUUGGGGGGAUUUCUUCCAUUUAUGUUAAUUUAGAGAACAUUGUGUGAGAUUCUUCUUGGGAUUGUGCUCUUGUAAGUUGUAUUGUGAAUUUAGAGAAUUUUGAGAAUGUUUCUCUUUUUUAUUUUCAUUUUACUUUUAUGGAUCUUUCAAUGUAUUCUUUUAUUUUGCUUUGUUAUGUUGUUGUGCUGAAAUUUUACUUUGUUCUUUAAUUGUACUUUUCUGCAACAUUGUUCAAUUAUUUUAUAUUAUUUUUGUUAAACAAUA
rnacentral:lncRNA from 1 species